UGAGCUUACAUAAGGCGCCAAGUUGAUUGACAGGGGAGAGGAAACAGCGCAAGACAACAAACACUCCCAAGGUGUUUCACCGCCACAGAGGGGUUUGUUAUACCUUUAAUGAUGCCCGGAUUAGAGAGCCUGGCGGGAGUUUACUCCAACUGUCUCCUCAUGCGUCUGCCCCGGACUAUUCCCUCGCAUCAGACAGCCAGUGAUGGAUGGCUUAAUUAAGGUGAAAGACAAUGAGUGAGUGCUUUUCAUUGUGUCUGGUCUCAGUGGUUUGUGACACACACAAAAAAAAAUGGAUUGCUCUUUUAAAUCGGGUCUCCUUGGGGAAAUGUCACAUAUAUCACUCAAACACAUCUAUCUGGUUCAGUGGAAUAUCCUCCACGCACGUACGUCCUGAGCAUUCUGAUGUGUCAAUCAGAGGUGUCACUUUAAGAAAAGAUUUUUCAGAGCAGAGCAUCUUUUUUUUUGUCUUGACGGCUGUGUUUUGUCAUUUGCAUAUCAUUUAUUGUCAUAUGUCUGCAGGAUUUUGAAGACAUUUCUGGAUUAAAUGUCUUGUUUACUCAAA